rfam:Pseudanabaena sp. PCC 7367, complete genome.
GGGUGACUGGCGCAACGGCAGCGCAUCGGACUCUUAAUCCGCUGGUUCUGGGUUCGAAUCCCAGGUCACCCA